UAGGGAAUCUUCGGCAAUGGACGAAAGUCUGACCGAGCAACGCCGCGUGAGUGAAGAAGGUUUUCGGAUCGUAAAACUCUGUUGUUAGAGAAGAACAAGGACGUUAGUAACUGAACGUCCCCUGACGGUAUCUAACCAGAAAGCCACGGCUAACUACGUGCCAGCAGCCGCGGUAAUACGUAGGUGGCAAGCGUUGUCCGGAUUUAUUGGGCGUAAAGCGAGCGCAGGCGGUUUAUUAAGUCUGAUGUGAAAGCCCCCGGCUAAACCGGGGAGGGUCAUUGGAAACUGGGAGACUUGAGUGCAGAAGAGGAGAGUGGAAUUCCAUGUGUAGCGGUGAAAUGCGUAGAUAUAGGGAGGAACACCAGUGGCGAAGGCGGCUCUCUGGUCUGUAACUGACGCUGAGGCUCGAAAGCGUGGGGAGCAAACAGG
rnacentral:rRNA from 1 species